UUUCAUAAUGCGCAAAAGACGUACUUUAUAAAGAGUUAGAUUAGUGUCAAUGAACUAAGUAUAAUUGGAAUGGUUUUUGAUCAAUUGCUUAGAGGGAAAGUAAGUCUGAGGAGUCCAGAUAAACCUGGUAUUAGUAGAAGAGAAGUGAUGAAAAUGUAUGUGGGCCUUUUUGCAUUUUCACUCUGCAGAGUCUGGUUUGGAUAAGAAAGGAAACUCAAGUGAGCCUUGGCUGCUUUAUGUACCAGAAAUGGGCCCUGGUGCUGUGCAGGAGGUGAGGAGCAUCAAUGCAUCGAUAAGCAAAAUGGCCAGGUUUCUAAUAGAAAUGUACCGAUGGGGAGCAUGUUUAGUUUUCGGUGAAAAUCAUUAGUCCACUUUGUGAAUCUUGGCAGCAUGUAUUCCCUAUUGUAGUGGAGAGCUGACUGCAGCGGGUGAAAGAUCAGAUACUGCUUGUUAAACCUUCUUGUUGAAGCUGUAGCUAAUUAAAAGUUUCUGCCGGCAGCCAAUUAGUUUGACUUGUUGGAAAAAGUACUUUGGUUGGAUUUCAUGCCACUUGAAGAGCAUUAGCUGCUUGGGAUUAGGUAGCAGCGAUUCAAUUGACAUGGGCUGUCACCCUCCGCUCCCACUCCAAAUUCAGAGCAGCCUUUCGAGGCUAAUCAGCAUGCAUCAUGUGUUUUUAUCAAGGGCAGGAGCCACUUCACAGUUGCGCUACCCAACACGGCUGAGCAGAAUUCUGCCUUCCUCCUUCACUCUGCCUACCCUGACAGGACGCCAUGUAGACUGGCAUGCCUGCACACAGCUCUCAUAUCCAUAGCCAGGCCCCCCUCUCUGCCCAAGGCAAGCUGUGUUAGAAGAUGGAGGUCUAGACAAAGAUACCUCAUCCUGUCUGCACUACCUGUGUGAAUGCUCAUGCAGAUUUCCCACAUGUGGGUUCUCCAUUUUCGCUUUAUUUCUGUUAAAUAAAUCAUGACAUGGUGUGUAAUAUGUCAUGUGUUGUUGUUCAUCUGAGGUUGUGUAUACCUAAUUUUAAAACCGGCUAAGGAACAGAUGGUUGUUAUUAUGUCCUGGUAUGUAAAACCAUAGAAUUCAUAGAGAGUGUACUUUAUUUCCCCCCAUGACUUUUAAGUAUCUGUGAUUUAUUCUAGCCCAAGUAUUUUUGUGUGGGGAAUGUUUGUUUAAAGGUGACUGAUAGCCGGUGUAAAAUCUAACCAAGUUUUAAUAUGCCUGGAGCAAUCACCGUUGUGCUUAACUCUGCUACUGGAGAGUAGGAAUCUCACUUCCAAACCUCUCUCACACCAACAGUAUUUCCUUAGGUCUACAGAAGCAGCUGCUAGCCCAGACCUGAUGUUUUCACUUGCUGAAAGGCAUAUAUUGAUGGAAUCUGAGUGAAAACCCACCUCCAUUACUAGGAGAUGAAAAGUAUCUUACAAAACAUUUAGAAUCCACCAAUUUCCCGCCUUACCAAAUCCAUGCUGCAGUAAUGCAAUUUCCACUGACUUUUUAGCAAGAAGAUGCAUUUUACAAUUAACAAAAUGUGCAGUUAUCUUUCAAUUCAUAGCUAGCCGUGCGCUGAGUGCCCAGCCAUUCAUGGCUUUGAGCACUGUACAUUACAUUUAAUUGAAAAACAUGAUGGUACAUAAAGCUCUAUAACCUUCCCUAUGCUGUCUAUAAACUGUAAGCAAAUACAUCUGGUAAUAUUUUAUGUCUAUCAUAAAAAACUUUUUCAUGCUUGUGUAGCAUGUUCUGGCGGCGAAAGCAGGUGGAAGCUAGAGAGCAUCUGGGUUGGGACUGGGACAACUAACCACCUUUUAGAGAUGAUGGGAGACAUGGUUUAGGUCAUCGGGGAGUGGGGGUAAGGUAGAAGCUAGCAAGAAGCAUAUAGACUGACAUUAUAGAUAUUUAAAGACCCCAAAGAAUCAUAGGAGAAAUCGCCUCAGAAAAUUUCUCCAUAGUUUACUUACUUACUGAAUGAAUGUAUAUCCCACCUGUCUUCCCAAAGGAGGCUAGGGUCAGGGUGGCAGUUUAUCCAUUGCAUUCCUCUCAAAAUGCCCUGCGCUGCUAUGCAGUGGUCUCUUUAGAAUGGUUUGUACAAAUAAUAUUUCCCUUACCAAAGUGUGGCUAUAUUUCUUUAUGAAUACACCUUUUAUACCAUGGAGGCUCCCCCAACUCGCCAAAGUAGACUUUGAAGGGACCACAGUGGAGAAGGAGAGGAUAAGGAAGUCCCAUUGAAUGUGCCAAUGUCUGUUCCACUUUUGCAACAGGAGGGUUGGAUACAACCUAUGGCAUCACCACCACAAAACCGGCCAUAUCUUUGUAAUCAUAUGUGCUUAAUACUUUCUGAUAGCCAUUUGUAAUGGGGUUAAAGCGGACAAUCAACACAGUCAUGUGUCCCUCUUGGUAAAACCAAAUUUCCACCAUGCAUUAUAUAUAUCACCUGCCAUUACAGGAACACAAAUUUAGGAACCUAGAAAGCUGUCAUCUAUUGUUAAUUCAGACUACUUGUCCAUCUUGCUCAGUUUUGUCUAUCAUGACUGGCGUUAAGAUCUCAGGCACGGGUCUAACGUCGCUUGCUACCUGGGACCUGCAUUCUAGGCAUGUGCUCCACAUAGCUAGGCCUUUUCUGUUCAUCAGAGCUAGAGAAAAGUUGAUUUUAAACAUGCAGCAAUAUGUGCUGACAUAUCAAAUAUAAUUUACUCUCCAGGUAAAGUGAAAAGUAGCCGCUCUUACUCCUCCUCUUAACAGUUCACCGCUACCCUAGAUUUUCAAUUUCCAUAAUAAAGAUUGUGACAACCGUAACACACACGGUAUAUAAAAUAAUUACUUUUCCCUGUCAGCUGGUAUUACGUCAGACAUGUUCUUAAAACAAUACAAGUGAGCUUCAGUGGAGCCUCUGAAAGGGAACUGCAAUGAAGCAAUUUAGAAAUGCAGCAAUAAAAUGGAUGGUAGUUGCUGAAGUCUAUUCACUGUGAAUUACCUUCAAUAUAUUUACCAUUUCUGGGUUUCUAGAGUGCUUUCCAGUAAUUACAUAGUUGCCUUGAAGGGACAGUACUUCCUCUAUCAGCUCUUUUAAAUUAAAUCUACACAGGACGUGACAAAUGGUCAUUUAGGCAAGCUAAGAAUCCAGGCAACGAUGGAGGGGAAGGGAAACGAUGAAUAAAGUCCUUGAAUAAGGCUGAGGUAGCAUCUUUCCCAAUGAAUGGAGGAAACUAUCCUCUAGAAUAACUUCUGACUCUUUAAAUCACAGGUGGGGGACAUGUAGCCCUCCAAAUAUUAUGGCAUUGUUAACUCCCACCACCCCUGACCAGAGGCCAUGCUGGUUUGACUGAUGGGACUUAACGCCCCGCAACAUUUAGAGGGUCACCCACCCUGCCAUAAAGGCCUAUUCACUAAUGCAUGGUGGAUAUAAAUGCGGUCACCAAUAAAACUAGCAGAUGCUCCAUUUUGUUGCUGUUUUCCAGCUAAGGUCACAGAGCAAUAGGCAGAAGUGUACUGAAGUGAGCAGGGGCAGGCAAUGUGUUGCCCUUCAGAUGUUGUUAGUCUACAGCCUUUAUCAUCAAAGCAGCUCACAAGAAUCACAAUGGCAUUAACAAACAACAACAAAAAUUGCAAUCACUGUAAAUACCAAACAUAGUAGCAUAUAAAUACACAACUUGUGACCUACCCAGCAAAACAAUGAAUACAAUUCAAUAAAGUAGUAGUAACUCAUUGCCAGGAUACUUCCUAAGCACAUGGAGCUUUACUCCAGAAUAACAAAAAAUGGAUUGGCUAUGUCCUGUUGGUUAUCAAAUGCAUUGUUUUGCAACAAUGGUUAGAAAGCUGCCUCCUAGCCCACUGAGAGUGAUCAGUGUAUGGGAUCAUGUCACAAAUAGCUCUUUGGGGAUGUAGUUUGUGGACAAAAGGGCAAUAUUACGUGUGUGUACUUGAAGUCAGCUUUAUUGAGUUCAAUAGAAUUUUGGCCCAGGAAAGUGUGUUUAGGAUUCAGACUCCAUUUCCUUUCCAAACAGGAUCAGUGUCAACAGAAAUGUUGAAAGCCAAAUAUAGCCGAAGCAAAAUUGUCCAGAUAAGCCUAAGUGAAAUUAUUGGACUUAAAACGGUGUCUCUCUGUGUGUCUACGUUGGUACUUGGAGUGAAUUAAUUAGUAUGGAAGAAGUGCUUUGAAGAUGAAAAGCAUUUUGUAAAGACUAAGCAUUAAUUUUGUCGCUGCAUUGUAAUCGUUCCCAGUUGUUCCACAAAUUAGUUGCCUAAUAAGGCUUUAAUAGUGCUCAUUUAUCUUUUCCGUAUCAGGUGUGAGCCACAGUUGUUAUAAUAGCUUUACAGCUUCUUUUCUCUUUACAUAAAAGAGCAUUUUCAUAAGUGAGGUUUAAAUCACUUUUGAGCCUUGUGUGUGCUAUUUAUGUCAAUGUUUGCGUGUUGUUCAUUUAGAAAAGGAGCAUUUAGUAAACAUGAGUAAAUAUCCCAGCCAAGGUGGGUUUUUUACAUUUACAUUACAAACCACUUGAGCCAAAAGCACGUUAACAGCCACAGGCAGGAAAAUGCCUUAAGUAUUUAAAUAACAGGUGGAAAAACAAACAAAAUAAUAAUGUUGCCAACUGUAGUCUGAGUCUUUCAACAUCUGAGUGGCAGACAGUUAGCUGGAACAUUCAGAUGCUCUUGGAUUAAGUUAACUUUAUGGAUCUGAAUCCAGCUAACUUCCAGCUGGGUUCCAGAACAGGAACAUCCUAGGAUUUGCUAGCUAGCUUGCUUGCAUCAGGAGAAGAUGGGGGUGGGUAGGUUGCGGGUUUGCACCAUUAUUUUCUUAAGACUUCUCAACAGCUUUCAGUAUUGUUGACUAGUUCCUAUGGUAUCAAUUUGGACCAUCUCUGUUGUUUGGGAUAUGGUGGUUCUGCUUUCUCCCAAAGAGUAUGCACCAGGAGGUGGUUGUAACAGAAGAAUGAUUGACUGCCAGGUGUGUGGAGUCAGAGAGUGACAGGUGCAGAGAAUCAGUUGAGAAAGGCAAGAGGGUGCGUGAGGGAGACCAUAGGUAAAAGGCUGGGAGUUAGAGGGAAGUCAGGUUUGUUAUGUUAGUAAAACUUCUCUUGUUCUUUAUUAAAUGACUUGUUAUUGUUUGGUAUCUCCCAUGAAUAAGCUGUAGGGUAACCAGCCUAGCAUUCUUGAGUCCAAUAAGUGCAUGAAAGGGUUAAAUCCAUAGAAAAAGCUGUCCUGUCUGUGUCACUUCCUCUCACCACAAGAUGAAAUGGGUAACCAAGCCUUUGUCCAUGUGAAAUUCAGUAUGUAAGGAGCUCUGAACUGAUUGCUCCAACCAGCACAGGGCUUUAACUAGCCUCUCUUGUUUCAGUCCUGAAUGGAGUCUGAAACUAGAAUAUUUUUCUGUACCAAUAGUUUGUUUUGUAACUAAGCAACAUUUUUAAUUGUUUGGGCAUCUUUUGUGACUACUGCAUGGAAAAAGCACAGAAAUCUGAGCUUUGAAGAGUUAUUUGCAAUGAACAUUAACUCCAGGUGUGCCACACAGCAGAUGACAGGACAGGGGGGCAAUGAGAGACAGAAGCCAUGGCUGCCUCAUCUCCUUUUGCGUCAGGAAACUUAAAGUCUGACUGUCAGACUGGAUGCAGAGCUGCUUGGAAGAUACCUGCGUAGCCUGUCAAACAUCUUUCCAAACUUGUCAUUCCAGCCGAGUGCUUGUGCAAAGCAUCCAACAUCACCCACUUAUAAUCUUAGAUUUCACUUCAGAGCCGACUGCCAGGAUAUAGGUGCAUGAGUGUGUGCAAGCUCUGACCUUAUGCCAUAUGAACCCAUAAUGAAUGAAAAAUGUGCUUGCAUUGCCUCUUCGUGCCAUAUACCCCAAUAUAAAAGGAAUCUGAAAGCUAAUACUGAAAUCCUUCACUCAGUUAUAAGCACUUUAGUCCCAGAUUUAAUGGAAUAGUGAUUGUGACCCCUUUUAAAACACUGCAGGCCUUUUGUGUUCUAUAAAACUAUAUCCAGUGUUCUUCAGUAAUGCCGGAAAAGGAUUUGAUAUUGAUCUGGAUUGCUAGAAAGCAUUACAUAGAGCAACGUGCCCCAUUAAUAUCGUCACCUUUAUAUUGAUAAAAUACAUAGACUGUCACCUAUUUCCACAACCACCCUUCUGCAAAUGAUCUGAAAUACCCAGAAUGCUUACUGGAUUAGCCAAUAUAAGCAACAUUGCAGCAUACUGCAGAUAGAGACCAACAACUCAUGGUGCAAUCCCAUGCAUAUCAACAUGGAAGUAAGACCUAGUAGAUGCAGCAGGACUCAUUUCUGAGUAGGCAUGCAUUGGAUGCAAUGAUAAAUAAGAAGAGUGUUAAUAAUGCACCACCUGAUGCCUCAAAUAUAAAUAGCCUGAUCCCGAACUCUUCUAUGCAGCCUGAUAAGAGCUACUGAACAUGGAAGGGUGCUUCAUUCAUUUGACUAAGAUUGCCAUCAUUGCUCAAUCUAAAAGAAAGUAAAUCAAAGGAUGGUAACAUGAUUAAAUUGGACUAGUGAGGUAACAACCCAUUACCUUUAUUUUGCCAGUUAGGCCUCCAACAAACAGCAUGGCAUUUGCAUCCACAUCCAGAAUUGUGUAACCAGGUGGAGAAAUUGCACUGAAAAUGCUUGGUACAAUGGUGGCUUUAGGACCUUCCAAUGCCUGUACGGAAACUGUGCCAUUUCUUCCAGUCCUUCAUGGGGGGAAAAAGAGACAUGGGAACCAUUGAUCAAUGAAUUCACAGGUUCGUUAAAAGUCCUGAGUCAGUAAAGAAAUUUACACAUACAAUAGAACAUUUUUUGAAUUUCUAUACACAACUUUUAGCCUAUGAGGAGACAUUGUGGGUCACAGCAUAACUGACUAGCUGUUGAUCUCAUGAAGGAGAUCAGCCAGUGGACCACUCUUUAUUGAUUAGGCCUCAUCAAAGCUGCCUGACUAAAGGUGUCCUUAGUAGUAGUUCAUUAUCGGGUGAAGCCGUGAAUGGUGCUUCCUUCACAAACAAACAAACAUUCCAAAGGGCCACAACAGUAUUUGGGGACUAGUGAUGCCAGACCCUUACAUAAAUCUCACUGCUGCUUCCAGAAAGCCCCCCCCCCAUCUUAUGCAUAUGGAAGGGAAGGUUCCUUAGCAAUAAACAUUAUGCCCACUACUUAUUGUGAACUAUUGUGUCUGUAAAACUCCAAACAAAUCUCUGCUGUUUUAAAAGGAAGUAACCAGAAUAAAGAUAUAUCUCAGGUUUAUUCAAAUGGAACAAAUGAAAGAUUAAGCUCUCAAUUAAAAACUUUUAUUAAAAACUGAAAA